rnacentral:lncRNA from 1 species
UUUUGGUCUCCACCACGAAAAAUUCUAGAACACAACAGGUAUAUUGGUGACAUGGCGUAACAAAGCAAUCAAAUAUCUCUUUUUAGGGAGAUAUGUCUCAUCAUGAUUGUAAAAAAAUAUUUUUAUUAUACUUUUGUUUAAAAAGAAGAAAUAUAAUUGAUUUGUUAUUAAUGACGUGAUGUAGGUGUGACAAUCUAGAAUUCCUCCUCCACCACCACUCGUUUCCCAAUUUAUUUAUUUACUUCAACAAAAAAUAAAAAAAAACCCACAAAAUCUCCACCAUCAUCACACCUCACGAAUCUU